UACGUAGGGCGCAAGCGUUGUCCGGAAUCAUUGGGCGUAAAGAGCUCGUAGGCGGCCUGUCGCGUCUGCUGUGAAAUCCCGGGGCUUAACCCCGGGCGUGCAGUGGAUACGGGCUGGCUGGAGGCAGGCAGGGGAGAACGGAAUUCCCGGUGUAGCGGUGAAAUGCGCAGAUAUCGGGAGGAACACCGGUGGCGAAGGCGGUUCUCUGGGCCAUUACUGACGCUGAGGAGCGAAAGCGUGGGGAGCGAACAGG
rnacentral:rRNA from 1 species